rnacentral:rRNA from 1 species
AUUGAACGCUGGCGGCAUGCUUUACACAUGCAAGUCGAACGGUAACAGGGAGCUUGCUCCGCUGACGAGUGGCGAACGGGUGAGUAAUGCGUCGGAACGUGCCGAGUAGUGGGGGAUAACGCAUCGAAAGGUGUGCUAAUACCGCAUACGUACUGAGGUAGAAAGUGGGGGACCGUCGGGCCUCACGCUAUUCGAGCGGCCGACGUCUGAUUAGCUAGUUGGUGAGGUAAAGGCUCACCAAGGCGACGAUCAGUAGCGGGUCUGAGAGGAUGAUCCGCCACGCUGCGACUGAGACACGGCCCAGACUCCUACGGGAGGCAGCAGUGGGGAAUUUUGGACAAUGGGCGCAAGCCUGAUCCAGCCAUGCCGCGUGUCUGAAGAAGGCCUUCGGGUUGUAAAGGACUUUUGUCCGGGAGCAAAUGCCUGGUGUUAAUAGCAUCGGGAGCUGAGAGUACCGGAAGAAUAAGCACCGGCUAACUACGUGCCAGCCGCCGCGGUAAGAC